rnacentral:rRNA from 1 species
AACGAACGCUGGCGGCAGGCUUAACACAUGCAAGUCGAACGCCCCGCAAGGGGAGUGGCAGACGGGUGAGUAACGCGUGGGAACGUACCUUUCAGUUCGGAAUAACUCAGGGAAACUUGUGCUAAUACCGGAUACGCCCGCAAGGGGAAAGAUUUAUCGCUGAAAGAUCGGCCCGCGUUGGAUUAGCUAGUUGGUGGGGUAAAGGCCUACCAAGGCGACGAUCCAUAGCUGGUCUGAGAGGAUGAUCAGCCACACUGGGACUGAGACACGGCCCAGACUCCUACGGGAGGCAGCAGUGGGGAAUAUUGGACAAUGGGCGAAAGCCUGAUCCAGCCAUGCCGCGUGAGUGAUGAAGGCCUUAGGGUUGUAAAGCUCUUUCACCGAUGAAGAUAAUGACGGUAGUCGGAGAAGAAGCCCCGGCUAACUUCGUGCCAGCCGCCGCGGUAAGAC